rnacentral:rRNA from 1 species
GACGAACGCUGGCGGCGUGCUUAACACAUGCAAGUCGAACGGUAAGGCCCUUCGGGGUACACGAGUGGCGAACGGGUGAGUAACACGUGGGUGAUCUGCCCUGCACUUCGGGAUAAGCCUGGGAAACUGGGUCUAAUACCGGAUAGGACCCUGGGAUGCAUGUCCUGGGGUGGAAAGCUUUUGCGGUGUGGGAUGGGCCCGCGGCCUAUCAGCUUGUUGGUGGGGUGAUGGCCUACCAAGGCGACGACGGGUAGCCGGCCUGAGAGGGUGACCGGCCACACUGGGACUGAGAUACGGCCCAGACUCCUACGGGAGGCAGCAGUGGGGAAUAUUGCACAAUGGGCGCAAGCCUGAUGCAGCGACGCCGCGUGAGGGAUGACGGCCUUCGGGUUGUAAACCUCUUUCAGCACCGACGAAGCGCAAGUGACGGUAGGUGCAAGAGAGGGACCGGCCAACUACGUGCCAGCCGCCGCAGUAA